CCCUUAGAUGUUCUGGGCCGCACGCGCGCUACACUGACGAAGUCAGCGAGCAUCUCCUUCGCCGAAAGGUGCGGGGAAUCUUGUGAAACUUUGUCGUGCUGGGGAUUGAUUUUUGAAAUUCUUGAUCAUCAACGAGGAAUUCCUAGUAAGCGCAAGUCAGCAGCUUGCGUUGAUUACGUCCCUGCCCUUUGUACACACCGCCCGUCGCUACUACUGAUUGGAUGUUUAAGCGAGGUUCUCGAACUGCUAGUGACUGAUCUUCGGUGAGGUCGCAGUGUGGGAAGUGAACCUAGCUUUGGUGUCUAGAGGAAGUAAAAGUCGUAAC
rnacentral:rRNA from 1 species